UACAGAGGUCUCAAGCGUUGUUCGGAUUCAUUGGGCGUAAAGGGUGCGUAGGCGGCGCGGUAAGUCGGGUGUGAAAUCUCGGGGCUUAACUCCGAAACUGCAUUCGAUACUGCCGUGCUUGAGGACUGGAGAGGAGACUGGAAUUUACGGUGUAGCGGUGAAAUGCGUAGAUAUCGUAAGGAAGACCAGUGGCGAAGGCGGGUCUCUGGACAGUUCCUGACGCUGAGGCACGAAGGCCCAGGGGGAGCAAACGGG
rnacentral:rRNA from 1 species